ensembl:snoRNA F37F2.4 ncRNA
UUUUUUUUUGGAAGAAAGCGGAAAUUCGCCCUUUUUAUUCGGAUUUUGUUGGCUAUUAUGCGCGAGCUUGUUUUCUGCCGGUGUAUGCAAAUGCGCUCUACUGAACAAUAAUGGGUCUCGACGCGAUGUUUGAUU